GAACUUGGCCAAAGGUAGAGUUCGUUGUCAUGGUUAUAAACUCGAACAAUAGAAGGGCGGAUUAUGAGGUACUAGGGGUGCUUGCCGUCAUGAGAUUUCUUCAGGGCGAGCGCGGAUUACGCUGCUCCCAAUGAAGUACCAGCAGUAUCAGAAUUUCAUGUGAAAGAAAAAUGGACAUGCUUAUGAAAAAAGAACGAUUAUAAUGAAUAAUAUGAAAGUACAACAAACAGGAGCAAUUGAUAAUGUUAGUUUAUAUUUUGCACGAUUGGAGAAAUAAAGUAUCGUAAUCUUGAA